GGGGAGAGAGAGAAAGACAGAGGUGGGAAAAGAGAGACACAGGGGGAGAGAGAGAAAGACAGGUGGGAAAAGAGAGACACGGGGGAGAGAGAGAAAGACAG